GUGGGGAAUCUUCCGCAAUGGACGAAAGUCUGACGGAGCAACGCCGCGUGAGUGAUGAAGGUCUUCGGAUUGUAAAGCUCUGUUAAUCGGGACGAAAGAGCCUAGUGUGAAUAAUGCUAGGAAGUGACGGUACCGGAAUAGAAAGCCACGGCUAACUACGUGCCAGCAGCCGCGGUAAUACGUAGGUGGCAAGCGUUGUCCGGAAUUAUUGGGCGUAAAGCGCGCGCAGGCGGAUCUGCCAGUCUGUCAUAAAAGUUCGGGGGUUAACCCCGUGAUGGGAUGGAAACUACAGAUCUAGAGUAUCGGAGAGGAAAGUGGAAUUCCUAGUGUAGCGGUGAAAUGCGUAGAUAUUAGGAAGAACACCAGUGGCGAAGGCGACUUUCUGGACGAAAACUGACGCUGAGGCGCGAAAGCCAGGGGAGCAAACAGGAUUAGAUACCCUGGUAGUCC
rnacentral:rRNA from 1 species